CCUGACCCUAAAGGUGUUGCAGGUAUGGCUGCUACAUCAUAUGUGUGUUAGUAGGUGGCAAAGAGGAGAAAGACUAAGUCUAUACUCAGUAUUCAGAACAAUGUACAUCUGAAUGAUUAAUAGUCUAACAUU